CAGUAGCCGCGGUAAUACGAAGGGUGCAAGCGUUACUCGGAAUUACUGGGCGUAAAGCGUGCGUAGGUGGUGGUUUAAGUCCGUUGUGAAAGCCCUGGGCUCAACCUGGGAAUUGCAGUGGAUACUGGGUCACUAGAGUGUGGUAGAGGAUAGUGGAAUUUCCGGUGUAGCAGUGAAAUGCGUAGAGAUCGGAAGGAACAUCUGUGGCGAAGGCGACUAUCUGGGCCAACACUGACACUGAGGCACGAAAGCGUGGGGAGCAAACAGGAUUAGAUACCCCGGUAGUCCAUGUCUCUUAUAC
rnacentral:rRNA from 1 species